GGAGCAGACUUGUUCUGUGACUGCGUACCUUUUGUAUAAUGGGUCAGCGACUUACUUCUCAGUAGCAAGGUUAACCAUUAGGGGAGCCGUAGGGAAACCGAGUCUUAAAUGGGCGUUUAGUUGCUGGGAGUAGACCCGAAACCGGGUGAUCUAUCCAUGGUCAGUGUGAAGGUCAGGUAAAACUGACUGGAGGCGCGAACCCACUUAUGUUGAAAAAUGAGGGGAUGAACUGUGGAUAGGGGUGAAAGGCCAAACAAACCCGGAGAUAGCUGGUUCUCUCCGAAAUCUAUUUAGGUAGAGCGUCGCGUAUUACUUCUGGGGGUAGAGCACUGUUAUGGCUAGCGGGUCGUCAAGGCUUAGUAAACCAUUGCAAACUCCGAAUACCAGAAAGUAUGAGCGCGGCAGACACACUGCGGGUGCUAACGUCCGUAGUGGAAAGGGAAACAACCCAGACCGUCAGCUAAGGUCCCAAAAUUAUAGUUAAGUGGGAAACGAUGUGAAAAGGCCCAGACAGCCAGGAGGUUGGCUUAGAAGCAGCCAUUCCUUUAAAGAGUGCGUAAUAGCUCACUGGUCGAGUCGGUUUGCGCGGAAGAUUUAACGGGGCUAAACUAUAUACCGAAGCUGCGGAUCGCAAUUUAUUGCGAUGGUAGGAGAGCGUUCUGUAAGCCGUUGAAGGUGAACUGUGAGGUUUGCUGGAGGUAUCAGAAGUGCGAAUGCUGACAUGAGUAACGAUAAAGGGGGUGAAAAACCCCCUCGCCAGAAGUCCAAGGUUUCCUACGCAACGUUAAUCGGCGUAGGGUUAGUCGGCCCCUAAGGCGAGGCAGAAAUGCGUAGUCGAUGGGAAACGGGUUAAUAUUCCCGUACUUCAUAUAACUGCGAUGGGAAGACGGAGUAGGUUAGCUCAGCAAGGCGAUGGUUGUCCUUGUUCAAGCGUGUAGAAAUGGUUCUUAGGAAAAUCCGGGAACCUCUAUUUCAAGGCGUGAUAACGAGCCCUCUUUUGGGCGAAGUGAGUGAGACCAUGCUUCCAGGAAAAUCCUCUAAGCUAUAGGUUAUAUGAAAUCGUACCCCAAACCGACACAGGUGGACGAGAUGAGAAUUCUAAGGCGCUUGAGAGAACUCGGGUGAAGGAACUAGGCAAAAUGACACCGUAACUUCGGGAGAAGGUGUGCUCUUGUUAUGUGAUAUCACUUGCUGAUUGAGCAAAGAAGAGCUGAAAAAACUAGGUGGCUGCGACUGUUUAUUAAAAACACAGCACUCUGCAAACACGUAAGUGGACGUAUAGGGUGUGACUCCUGCCCGGUGCUUGAAGGUUAAUUGAUGAGGUUAGCGCUUGCGCGAAGCUUUUGAUCGAAGCCCAAGUAAACGGCGGCCGUAACUAUAACGGUCCUAAGGUAGCGAAAUUCCUUGUCGGGUAAGUUCCGACCUGCACGAAUGGCGUAACGACGGCCACACUGUCUCCACCCGAGACUCAGUGAAAUUGAAAUCGCUGUUAAGAUGCAGUGUAUCCGCGGCUAGACGGAAAGACCCCGUGAACCUUUACUAUAGCUUCACAGUGAACUUUGAACCUAUUUGUGUAGGAUAGGUGGGAGGCUUUGAAGCGGUGACGCUAGUCAUCGUGGAGCCAAACUUGAAAUACCACCCUGGUAUGUUUGAGGUUCUAACUCAGGUCCGUAAUCCGGAUCGAGGACACUGUGUGGUGGGUAGUUUGACUGGGGCGGUCUCCUCCCAAAGAGUAACGGAGGAGCACGAAGGUACACUAAGCAUGGUCGGACAUCAUGCGGUUAGUGCAAUGGCAUAAGUGUGCUUGACUGCGAGACAGACACGUCGAGCAGGUACGAAAGUAGGUCAUAGUGAUCCGGUGGUUCUGUAUGGAAGGGCCAUCGCUCAACGGAUAAAAGGUACGCCGGGGAUAACAGGCUGAUACCCCCCAAGAGUUCACAUCGACGGGGGUGUUUGGCACCUCGAUGUCGGCUCAUCACAUCCUGGGGCUGGAGCAGGUCCCAAGGGUAUGGCUGUUCGCCAUUUAAAGUGGUACGCGAGCUGGGUUUAGA
rnacentral:rRNA from 1 species